rnacentral:rRNA from 1 species
UCGGGAAUUUUGGGCAAUGGGCGAAAGCCUGACCCAGCAACGCCGCGUGAGGGAUGAAGUAUUUCGGUAUGUAAACCUCGAAAGAAUGGGAAGAAUAAAUGACGGUACCAUUUAUAAGCUCCGGCUAACUACGUGCCAGCAGCCGCGGUAAUACGUAGGGAGCAAGCGUUGUUCGGAUUUACUGGGCGGAAAGGGCGCGUAGGCGGCGCGGUAAGUCACUUGUGAAAUCUCUGAGCUUAACUCAGAACGGCCAAGUGAUACUGCUGUGCUAGAGUGCGGAAGAGGCAACCGGAAUUCUUGGUGUAGCGGUGAAAUGCGUAGAUAUCAAGAGGAACACCAGAGGCGAAGGCGGGUUGCUGGGCCGACACUGACGCUGAUGCGCGAAAGCCAGGGGAGCAAACG